UUUGAAAAAGAGAGAGUAUUCUGUGUGAUAUGUGGCAAGUGAUAUGUGAAGAUGAGACGUGGAGUGGCCACUUACCUGUGGUCAGGACUGCUGGUCACUUCUUAUUGUCCCAGAGGCCUGGAGAGAAGGCUCCACCUUGGAAGAUACUGGAAAAUAUUGACAAUGUUGAGAAAAUAUAAUGACCUUGGAGAAGAUUCUGUCUUCCUGAGCUGGCCACAGAGGCCAACUCAGCAAGAGUGGUUCACUCACAUCAAGUGAAUGGAAAAAUCGGAUCAUGGAGCUGCCAGGGC